UCAUGACCUGAGCCGAAGUCCGAUGCUCAAUCGACUGAGCCACCCAGAUGCCCCUAAAGACAACUUUAAAGUUGUAAAAAGACAACCCCUGAGAGAUCACGGAGGCGGCAACAGCAGGAGGCAACUAUAGCUCGUAGGGCUAGGAGAACAAAGGGGAGCAUUUGGAAUCACUCAAACUUAGCAACUUAGAAGAGGGGCUCCACAGGGCUGACACUCAGACCCCUAUGUCUAAUGCUGGUGUCUGGUGUCUCUGCGCAUGGAGGAGGGACCGACGCCGCUGAGGAAGGAGUGCCACCCGGCUGGCGCUGGUGUCUCUGACUGGGACACCGUGAAGCUGGUUCUGAAAUCGUUGGGGAAAAUCUGCAAAGUGGAUUCAGCUGCUGCUACGGGAAGGCACUGCUGCCACCCAGGUGAAGGGGCGUCGCUACAGUGACCUCACAGGAAAAGGAAGCAAACAGGAGGGCGCUUCUCUUCCUCCUCUGGACUCACUGGCUCCCUCUAGUGGCCCUUAUUGGCAGAGCCAAAUACAGAGCCCGCUGACAGAGCAGAAAUGUGAUUUGCAGAGCCCCGGCUCCAUGAUCUCAUAAUAGAAAGCAGAGGGUGGGUUUAGAGCUGCGAGACAGCAACUCACUAACUAGCCCGAGCGCUUUUAUAAAGUAUUAGAAGAAAGAGGUGAAGUUAGGUGAGAAUUCGCUGGUUUUCAAGCAGAGAUGGAAGGGAAAUAGAGACAGUCCAGAGCAGGAAGUAGACUGUGAAACCUGCACAUUCUCCAAGGAGGUCAUACUGCCCAAAGCCCAUCUCAGAUGCGGUGCUAAAGGAUAAUCAAUGAGCCAGAGGGCACAGCCAGGAGGCAUGGAGAACAAUGGACAAAGAAGUCCCUCCUGGAACAAAUCAGGGUCUAAUCAAGGAGUGUCUCCAGCCCCAGGGAAGAGGACUUUGAUAAUCUGACCAGUGGAGAUUCAGAACUGCUUUGGAUCAGAGACUGUGACACAUCUUCAAUUCUUUCCUUUUCUAAAUAGAUAUUUCUAUGGACGU